rnacentral:rRNA from 1 species
GCAUACUGCUCAGUAACACGUGGAUAACCUGCCCUAUUGUCUGGAAUAACCUCGGGAAACUGAGAACAAAGCCGGAUAACCCACAAUGCCUGGAACGGUUUGUGGGCGAAGAUAGGAUGGGUCUGCGGCGUAUCAGGUCGUAGGGGGUGUAAUGGACCUCCUAGCCAUCGACGCGUACGGGUGUUGGGAGACAUAGCCCGGAGAUGGAUUCUGAGACACGAAUCCAGACCCUACGGGGUGCAGCAGGCGCGAAAACUUCACACUGCAGGAAACUGUGAUGAGGGAACUCCAAGUGCUAUCACUAUGUGGUAGCUUUUCUUAACUAUUAAUCGGUUUUGGAAUAAGGGCUGGGAAAGACCGGUGCCAGCCGCCGCGGCAAUACCGGCAGCUCAAGUGGUCGUCGCUUUUAUUGGGCCUAAAACGUCCGUAGCCUGUUUGGUAAAUCUGUGGGUAAAUCAACCAGCUUAACUGGUUGAAUUCUGCAGAGACUGCCAGACUAGGGACCGGGAGAGGUGUGGGGUACUCUAGGGGUAGGGGUAAAAUCCUGUCAUCCUUAGAGGACCACCAGUUGCGAAGGCGCCACACUGGAACGGAUCCGACGGUCAGGGACGAAGCCU